CCUACGGGACGCACCAGUGGGGAAUAUUGCACAAUGGGCGCAAGCCUGAUGCAGCCAUGCCGCGUGUAUGAAGAAGGCCUUCGGGUUGUAAAGUACUUUCAGCGAGGAGGAAGGCAUCAAGGUUAAUAACCUUGGUGAUUGACGUUACUCGCAGAAGAAGCACCGGCUAACUCCGUGCCAGCAGCCGCGGUAAUACGGAGGGUGCAAGCGUUAAUCGGAAUUACUGGGCGUAAAGCGCACGCAGGCGGUCUGUCAAGUCGGAUGUGAAAUCCCCGGGCUCAACCUGGGAACUGCAUUCGAAACUGGCAGGCUAGAGUCUUGUAGAGGGGGGUAGAAUUCCAGGCGUAGCGGUGGAAUGCGUAGAGAUCUGGAGGAAUAUCGGUGGCGAAGGCGGCCCCCUGGACAAAGACUGACGCUCAGGUGUGAAAGCGUGGGGAGCAAACAGGAUUAGAUACCCGAGUAGUC
rnacentral:rRNA from 1 species